rnacentral:rRNA from 1 species
AUUGAACGCUGGCGGAAUGCUUUACACAUGCAAGUCGAACGGUAGAGGGGGCAACCCCUUGAGAGUGGCGAACGGGUGAGUAAUAUAUCGGAACGUGCCCAGUCGUGGGGAUAACGUAGCGAAAGUUACGCUAAUACCGCAUACGAUCUAAGGAUGAAAGCGGGGGAUCGCAAGACCUCGCGCGAUUGGAGCGGCCGAUAUCGGAUUAGGUAGUUGGUGAGGUAAAGGCUCACCAAGCCGACGAUCUGUAGCUGGUCUGAGAGGACGACCAGCCACACUGGGACUGAGACACGGCCCAGACUCCUACGGAGGCAGCAGUGGGGAAUUUUGGACAAUGGGCGCAAGCCUGAUCCAGCAAUGCCGCGUGCAGGAUGAAGGCC